GACGAAGGAUGCGAGCGUUAUCCGGAUUCAUUGGGUUUAAAGGGAGCGUAGGUGGCCAUGUAAGUCAGUGGUGAAAUCUGGCAGCUUAACUGUUAAAUUGCCAUUGAUACUGCAGGGCUUGAGUACAGAUGCCGUUGGCGGAAUAUGACAUGUAGUGGUGAAAUACAUAGAGAUGUCAUAGAACACCGAUUGCGAAGGCAGCUGACGAAACUGUAACUGACACUGAGGCUCGAAAGUGUGGGGAUCAAACAGG
rnacentral:rRNA from 1 species